rnacentral:rRNA from 1 species
UACGGAGGGUGCAAGCGUUAAUCGGAAUUACUGGGCGUAAAGCGCACGCAGGCGGUCUGUCAAGUCGGAUGUGAAAUCCCCGGGCUCAACCUGGGAACUGCAUUCGAAACUGGCAGGCUAGAGUCUUGUAGAGGGGGGUAGAAUUUCAGGUGUAGCGGUGAAAUGCGUAAAGAUCUGGAGGAAUACCGGUGGCGAAGGCGGCCCCCUGGACAAAGACUGACGCUCAGGUGCGAAAGCGUGGGGAGCAAACAGGGUUAGAUACCCUGGUAGUCCACGCCGUAAACGAUGUCGAUUUGGAGGUUGUGCCCUUGAGGCGUGGCUUCCGGAGCUAACGCGUUAAAUCGACCGCCUGGGGAGUACGGCCGCAAGGUUAAA